UUCCCCCAUUUUACACGCUAUCUUCUUCUCUCCCUAUCUCUCUCUAUUUCUGUCUAUCUCGUCUCUAUCUAUCUCUCGACAAUUUACAGGAUUUUCCCAAUUGGUCGUCGCCUCCGUUGCCCACAGGGAGAUAAAUCGCGGCCGCAAUAGAUUGAGCCUUCAAACUCGCCGGGUCACGACAGCCCCCGUCGUACGUCGCCGCUGUACCCGACACUGCUACAGCUGUCGCCGCCGGGAGCCGCUGCUCCGUCAGGAGCCGGAAGAGCUGAUGUUGUCGCAACGGUGCUGCUGUCUCACCGGUGCCGCCACUGGAAACGUCGGGGCGCGGCUGUCCGCCACUGCCCGCCGCCGCCGGCAGCUUCCCUUUUUCCGGUAUCACUCCGAACUACUCCGAUUCAACCCGCAAGGUGUAUUUUUAUUAUCAAGUUACGUUCUUUGAGACUUUCGAUUACAUACGGCGAGUGUUCGAUUAGUUUCGAUAGUUGAUUGUUAACUUGUUGAAUUGGUUAUGGAAGUGAAAAUAUGAACAACAUAUAUGCAUAUCAACUAUCUACUCAUGCUUUGGGAUUGAGAAGGGAGUAUACCUCCAAAUUGGUUAGUCUUGGUGGUGAAUGGACAAGAAUGUGUAAUGUGAGGAGGAGAGUUUGAAAGGCUAAAGUAGUGGCUUUGAGGUGACUCUUGGAUGGAAGCAUUGAUGGUGGAAGAGGGAAGGUGAAAGAGUUGGAGGUGGAGAGUCCUUGUGGAAAAACCGUCGACUACUUGGAGAAGAAGAAGGAGAAGGGAGUUCUUUGGGCUUGCUCCCAUUUUUUGGAAAAGGAUUGGACUUCUAAAUUAAUUUAAUGAACUUGGGCUUGGUUGUAAGCCCAAAUUGAUAAUAUUAUUAUUUUGUUAAUUAGGGUCCAAGCUAUUUUGUAGAUAGACAAUUGGACUCUAAUUAAAUUUGCAUUGCCCAAAAUAAAUUCAUACUUUAUAUUUUCGUA